CCAGCUCCAAUAGCGUAUAUUAAAGUUGUUGCAGUUAAAAAGCUCGUAGUUGGAUUUCAAGGGUCGCAGCGUGGAUACACGUUUGCUCCCUACCAGUCUUUGACUGUUACUGUGAGAAAAUUAGAGUGUUUCAAGCAGGCUUACGCCCGAAUACAUUAGCAUGGAAUAACGAAUGUGUCUAGAAUCUUGGUUAAUUCUAGAUAACGAUUAAUAGGGACAGUUGGGGGCAUUAGUAUUUAAUUGUCAGAGGUGAAAUUCUUGGAUUUGUUAAAGACUAACGAAUGCGAAAGCAUUUGCCAAAGAUGUUUUCA
rnacentral:rRNA from 1 species